GAAGUACUUUCCACCGGAGGCC
rnacentral:siRNA from 1 species